ensembl:lncRNA
CGGAAAGUUAAGGAGGAAGGAGCAAUGAGUUGUGGGAAAUGGAAGGGAAAUGAAACUGUUAGAUAAGCAGGCCAGCUAAAAUUCCCUCAGGAAAAAAAAUUCAUUACAAUCUGUCUGAAUCACCGAAGAGUUUGGGGGAAGACAUUAAAACAGAAGCAGAAUCUGAGCUCACUUCAACGGACAUUAGUUGUGCCAUUUGGUGUCUGCAGGGCACUGGGCUAGGUGUCAGAGGACAGAGGUGAGGAAGAAGUCGUCCCGCCCUGAAGGAUCUCAGUCUAGUCAGAGACAAGCUGUAAAUGGAUUAGUUCAAUAUGCUGUGGUGAUGAUAGUGAAGCUUGCUCUGGAGGAUGCUGUGAGGUCCGCUCUGGAGAUAGUUGCAAAGGGCCGUGGAUUGUUGUGCUCCUGGUGGACGGCACCAUUCCUGAGAUGGCUCUCCAUCCAUUUUUCCUGCUUGGCUGUUUUCUGGAAAGUGGAGAAAAAUGAUGGAGCUCUGCCCCAAGGAUCUCCUCUCACCACGAAUGCUAACAGAGCAGACACUCUGAACCGGCGGAGACGACUCAGCAUUUCCGAGGCUAUGAAGAGGAUUCAGUGCCCUGGAGCCACUAUGGAUCAUAUUUCUCACUGCACAGAGACAGUCUGCCUGAGAAUUGGUCCACCACAGUGAGAAGCAGAGCCGAGGGAUGGAGAAGGAAGAGCUACACCAUGAUGGGACCACUGGGCUCCACCAGCAACUAAAACCAGGUCGUACUACUCCUGUAUUUUUCACUUAGAUGAACCAACAAAUCAAUUUCUUUGUCUUCCCUCCUGCCUCCCUGUCUUUUUUUCUCUUUUUUCCUUUUUUGUUAAAUUGGUUUGAAUUGAGAUGCUGACUGGUAGAGAGUCCUUACUAUACCUUCAUGAUCGUUAUUAUCACCUUAGAAAAUGCUAUGAACUUAAAAAAAAUUCCUGUAUGUUUGUAUAUCUUUGAAAUUUGUAUACACACAUUUGUGCUUGAUGAUUAGGAUGAACAUUCUUUUUCUCAUUUGUGAAUCAUGUAUUCAUGUUUUGGUCCACUUAUUUAUUAAGUUUUUAGUUUUAAAAGCAUUUGCAUAAGUUUAUUUCAUGCUGAAGAUAUAUGGGCUACAUGUUUGUGAAAAUGCUUUUCCCACAUAGUUGUUUGUUUAUGUUAUGAGUCUUUUACCUAGGGAAAUUUGCUUUUUGUUUGUACAAUAUAAAUUAUCUUUUAAUAAAAAUUUGUUUUUUGGUAAAAUUAAAUUAUUUUUCUUUGUAAAUUUUCCUACUGUUUUUAAAUUUACAACUCCCUUCUUUAUAGAAUUUUUGUUUGCGUUUUCAGUUUUAAACAUUCAGAACUUAUUUAAGUGUGUGAUUUGAGUUGAGUUUUUGUGUUGACUUUUUUCUGCCUAUUCGCUAUUUUUUUGCUUCAACAAUGUUGACUAAUCUGUUAAUUUCCAAUUGGCUUAUAAUGCCUUUAAAAAAAUCAGAUGCUAUGUUCUUGUAAACAUAAGAACAUAUGGUAAGUUUUGUUUGGGUGUUAUUUAUGGUGUUUCAUUUAUAUUUAAGCGUAUUUCUAAGUUUAUAUGUAUAAUAGGAUUUUGGUUCUACACCAUGUCUAAUUUUAACCACACAGAGACAGGCAGCUAUUAUUGUGAAUAGCACCACUUUUGAUUACACAGGGCAGUAAAAUAUAGUAUGUUCCUUAAUUAUUUCUAGGACACAAUUAUGUAUUGAUAGCUACUGUCUAUUGAGGCUUCCCAUGUCCUAGACACUCUGCUAAAUUUUAAUUCUUAUCACAACUCUAUAUGGUAGAUAUGAUUAUCCUCCUUCAUAGAAAUGAGUUUGUUAUUAUUUUCAUAUUGCGAUGAAAUAUUUUUCCAAUUUUUCAGUUUUAAUUUCUAAUUUGAUAAAGCUUGAUAGGUAAAACUCCCAUAACCAAAACUUUUAGGAGCAUGAACGUGUCCUGGGAUGAAGAAGAUUGAGAGCCGCUGAUGUAGCUCACAGUAGUCUUCAUAAAAUUAUUAGGUGUUAACAUUAUUAUUAAGUUUUGAAUAUUUAAGUAUAAUUGGUGUACAAUAAAUUGCGUAUACUUGAGUGUAUACUUUGAUGAGUUUGACAAAUGAGUACUCCCAUGAAACCAUCACCAUGAUUAAGAUAAUGACCACAUCUAUCACUCCCAGAUUGCUUUGUAAUCCAUCCCUCCCUCCCCAGGGGUUCCAUAGCCAACAAACCCACUGGUCUGCUUUCUGUCAAUAUAGUUGGCAUUUCCUAGAGUUUCAUAUAAAUAGAAUCAUAUAGCAUGCAUUAUUUUGUGACUUGCUUUAUACAACUCAGCAUAAUUAUUUUGAGAUUUAUUCAUCCAUGUUGUCAUGUAUAUCCAGAGUUAGUUCCCUUUUAUUGUUGAGUAGUAUUCCAUUGUAUGGAUAUACCACAAUGUAUUUAUCCAUUCAACUGUUGAUUGACAUUUCAGUUGUUUGCAUUUUUGGCUAUUACACGUAAAACUACUAUGAACAUUCAUGUACAAGUCUUUGUGUAGAUGUAUGAAUUUCUCUUAGAUAAAUGCCUAGGAGUGGAAUGUCUGGGUAGUAAAUGUUUAGCUAUUUAAGAAACUGCCAAAUUAUUUUCCAAAGUGAUUGUACAAUUUUACAUUUCCUAAAUUUCCAUCAGCAGUGUGUGAAAGUUUCAGUUCCUCCACUUACUUGCUAACAUUUGGUAUGACGAGUUAAAAAAUUUUAAAGGCGUUUUGGUGGGUAUGUAGUGGUAUCUCAUUGUGAUUUUCAUGUUUUGUUGCCAUUCAUAUCUCUUCCUUGGUGUUGUAUCUGUUCAAAUCUCACCAAUUUGAAAAAUUGGGUUGUUUGUUUGCAUU